UCCCUGUUGCCAGGGCAGUCUAGCCAGAGAAAUCCAACUGACUAUAAGGGUUGCGCUCGUUGAUGGACUUAACCAAACAUCUCACGACACGAGCUGACGACGGCCAUGCAUCACCUGUCACCGAUCAACUAAAUGAAGCCUUCUUUCGAAGGCGGUAUCGGGAUGUCAAGCCUGGGUAAGGUUCUUCGCUUACCAUCGAAUUAAACAACACGCUCCACCGCUUGUGCGGGUCCCCGUCAAUUCCUUUAUGUUUUAAGCUUGCGCUCGUACUCCACAGGCGGGAUGCUUAACGCGUUAGCUUCGCUACUACCAGGGUCGAUACUGGUAACAGCUAGCAUCCAUAGUUUACGGCGUGGACUAC
rnacentral:misc_RNA from 1 species